rnacentral:rRNA from 1 species
GAUGAACGCUGGCGGCGUGCCUAAUACAUGCAAGUCGAGCGAACGGACGAGAAGCUUGCUUUUCUGAUGUUAGCGGCGGACGGGAGAGUAACACGUGGAUAACAUACCUAUAAGACUGGGAUAACUUCGGGAAACCGGAGCUAAUACCGGAUAAUAUUUUGAACCGCAUGGUUCCAGCGUGAAAGACGGUCUUGCUGUCACUUAUAGAUGGAUCCGCGCUUCAUUAGCUAGUUGGUAAGGUGACGGCUUACCAAGGCAACGAUGCAUAGACGACCUGAGAGGGUGAUCGGCCACACGGUAACUGAGACACGGCCCAGACUCCUACGGUAGGCAGCAGUAGGGAAUCUUCCGCAAUGGGCGAAAGCCUGACGUAGCAACGCCGCGUGAGUGAUGAAGGUCUUCGGAUCGGAAAACUCUGUUAUUAGUGAAGAACAUAUGUGUAAUUAACUGUGCACAUCUUGACGGUACCGAAUCAGAAAGCCACGGCUAACUACGUG